GCACAGGUGCUCGCAUGGCUGUCGUCAGCUCGUGUCGUGAGAUGUUCGGUUAAGUCCGCUAACGAGCGCAACCCUCGCUGUGUGUUAUAUGUGUCACACGGGACUGCCGGUCUUAAGCCGGAGGAAGGUGGGGAUGAUGUCAAGUCAGCAUGGCCUUUAUAUCCUGGGCUACACACACGCUACAAUGGCCAACACAAUAGGUUGCUAAGCCGCGAGGUGGCGCCAAUCCAUAAAGUUGGUCUCAGUUCAGAUUGUAGGCUGCAACCCGCCUGCAUGAAGAUGGAGUUGCUAGUAACCGCAGGUCAGCUAUACUGCGGUGAAUACGUUCCCGGGGCUU
rnacentral:rRNA from 1 species